CCUCACCAGAGUAACAAUUGGAGGGCAAGUCUGGUGCCAGCAGCCGCGGUAAUUCCAGCUCCAAUAGCGUAUAUUAAACUUGUUGCAGUUAAAAAGCUCGUAGUUGAAUUUUUGCGUGGUGUUAAUAUUGACUGAUGUCGAGAUUGCACUUCGCUUUUGGGAUUUUUCCCUUUUUACUUUGAGAAAAUUAGAGUGUUUCAAGCAGACUUUUGUCUUGAAUACUUCAGCAUGGAAUAAUAGAGUAGGACUUUGGUUCUAUUUUGUUGGUUUGUGAACCUUAGUAAUGGUUAAUAGGAACGGUUGGGGGCAUUCGUAUUUAACUGUCAGAGGUGAAAUUCUUAGAUUUGUUAAAGACGAACUACUGCGAAAGCAUUUGCCAAGGACGUUUUCAUUAAUCAAGAACGAAAGUUAGGGGAUCGAAGACGAUCAGAUACCGUCGUAGUCCUAACCAUAAACUAUGCCGACUAGGGAUUGGAGGUCGUCAUUUUUCCGACUCCUUCAGCACCUUGAGAGAAAU
rnacentral:rRNA from 1 species